GGGCAAGGAGACGCCCGCCCCUGGAGACUCCCAGGGGUUCAACCCGUGCUCCAAAGGGCUCAUCCUUGGUCCAAAAGGGCAACUUUGAAGCCCGCAGGUAAAUAGAGGCGGAUGGGGAGGAGGGCCACCUAGCCUUAUCCCUCUGCCAUUCAGAAAUACACCAUCAAAUCACUCCUGACAGAUGGCCAUAGUGCUUUUGAUAUUUAAAAUGGUACCAGGAGUCCAACUCCCUGCCAUGUAGGAAUACACCAUCAAAGCACUCCCGACAGAUGGACAUCCUGCUUCUGCUUUUAAAAAAAGGUACCAGGAGUCCCAACUCCCCACCAUGUAGGAAUAUACCAUCAAAGCACUCCUGACAGAUGGCCAUCCUACUUCUGCUUUAAAAAAAGUUACCAGGAGUCCAACUCCCCGCCAUGUAGGAAUACACCAUCAAAGUACUCCCGAUAGAUGGCCAUCCUGCUUCUGCUUUAAAAAAAGGUACCAGGAGUCCAACUCCCUGCCGUGUAGGAAUACACCAUCAAAACACUCCCGACAGAUGGCCAUCCUGCUUCUGAUUUCAAAAAAAGGUACCAGGAGUCCAAUUCCCUGGCAUGUAGGAAUACACCAUCAAAGCACUCCCAACAGGUGGCCAUCCCGCUUCUGAUAUUUAAAAAGGUACCUGGAGUCCAAUUCCUUACCAUGUAGGAAUACACCAUCAAAGCACUCCUGACAGAUGGUCAUCCAGCCCCUGCUUUUUUAAAAAGUAAGUACCGGGAGGUAAAAGGAAGCUGUCAUUGAUUUUAAGGAAGCUCAGUGUUGGGUCCUGCAAAACAUUGGCAAUAAUAAAAGUUUUGUGAACGUCAGCUAGUGGCUGUUGUAGACUUUUCCGCGAAUCUGUCGUGCUGUGUUUUCAGUGAACUCUGCAGCUGAACUUCAUUCAAAGGAAAAUCAGCCUGUGUAGCAAGCCUUUCAGGUGCGGGUUUGUGAUCAGUAAAUGUUUGAUUUUUAUUCUUAUUUUAUAUACUUAAUUAUAUACCCAGGAUCACAGUCAAAUUUUCUCAACCCGAAAGGGGUGGCAAGGGGAAAACUUUAGCCCUGAGUCUAGCUCAUCCAGCUCCUUUCUCUCAACCAGUCGAAGAAGAAGGGGAAUUCUGCCUUUACUUCCUUUCUGGAUACAGCUACACUGUAGAAUUAAUGCAGUUUAACCACCAUGACUUAAUACUAGGGAAUCAAGAGUUGCAGUUCUUGCAAGGUCUGUCAAAGAAAGUUGAUGCUUCAACCAGGAUUCCAAAGCAUUGAGCCAUGGCAGUUAAAGUGGUGCCAAACUGCAUUAAUUCUGCUGUGUCGAUGCACCUUUAGUCUGGCUACAAUGGCUAGAAUAUGGCAGACUGACAAAGUAACUUUUCAAACCUCCAUAAAAAACAAGGAGGCAGUGAUACCUUAAAGAUACAUUCUUACAGAGGCCAGGAAAAAUACUUCUUUAGAUUAGAAGAGAAAUCUUAACCUAAAGCAGUGGUUCCUCAACUUCAUUCCUCCAUUAUUGUUGUUUUGGAUUUCAGCUCCUAGCAUUCCAGCAUUUGUCAUAUUGGCUGGGGCUUCUGGGAGUUCAAGUCCAAUGGGAGGACUGUGCGCACUCAAGCCAUUUAGAUUUUAUCGUGAUCUUAGGGCAGUGGUUCUCAACCUUCUUAAUGCCACGACCCCUGAAUACAGUUCCUUAUAUUGUGGUGAUCUCCAACCAUAAAAUUAUUUUGUUGCUACUUCAUAACUGUCAUUUUGCUACUGUUAUAAAUCGUAAUGUAAAUAUCUGAUCUGCAGGAUGUAUUUUCAUUCACUGGACCAAAUUUGGCACAAAUACCUGAUAUGCCCAAAUUUGAAUACUGGUGGGGUUGAGGGGAUUGGUUUUGUCAUUUGGGAGUUGUAGUUACUGGGAUUUAUAGUUAAUCUACAAUCAAAGAGCAUUCUGAACUCCACAAAUGAUGGAAUUGAACCAGACUUGGCACACACAACUCCCAUGACCAACAGGAAAUACUAGAAGGGUUUGGUGGGCAUUGACCUUGAGUUCUGGAGUUCUAGUUCACCUAUGUCCAGAGAGUACUGUAGACUCAAAUAAUGAUGGCAUGAAUACUCAAUAUACCCAAAAGUGAACACUGGUGGAGUUUGGGGAAAAUAGACUUUGACAUUUUGGAGGAGUUGUUGCUGGGAUUUAUAGUUCACCUACAAUCAAAGAGGCUCUUGAAUCCCACCAAUGAUAGAAUUGGGCCAAAGGACAGGCAAAGAGUUCUUCAGCCUUCUCUGCCAAAGGGGCCGCCUAAGUCCAUCGGGAAUAUGUGUUUUCUGAUGGUCUUUAGUGACCUUUCUGAAGCCCCCUCGCAAACCCCCCAGGGGUCCCAAUUCUCUUGCCUGCCAAGUUUGGACCAGUUACGUCACUGGUGUGCGUCGCAGUGGUCUGUGGGAGCAAAAGUGAUUGAAAGUACUGGAAAUCCCAUCAUCCCUGGUCUAUCCUCCUCCAAACUGCACCAGGACAUAAAAUGGAUCAUGGGGAUUAAGUGUGCCAAGUGUGGUCCUGAUCUGUCAUUAGUUAGAAUAACAGUGGUCUGUCGGAGACAAAGUGUUUGAAAGUACUGUAGAUCCCAUAAUCCUUGGUCCAUCCUCCCCCAAAGUGCUGUAGCAUGUAAAGUGUGUGAUCUGGAUACGUGUUCCAAGUUUGGUCUUUACUCGUCAUUGGUGGGAGUCGCAGUGGUCUCAGGAAGUUAGUGAAGGUACUGCAUGUCCCAUCAUUCAUGGUCCAUCCUUCCCCACACCACACCAGGACCUAAAGUGGGUCACAUCGCAUCUGUGUUGCAAGUUUGGUCGAGUUGUGUCAUUUGCGGGGGUCUCAGUGGUUUGUGGGAGGCGAAUCGGGUGAGCCCACGAGAACCUUAAGAUCAUCUGGAGAGGCCCUGCUCUCGGUCCCACCCACCUCUCAGGCACGGCUGGUGGGGACGAGAGACAGGGCCUUCUCGGUGGUGGCUCCCCAGCUGUGGAACUCCCUCCCCAGUGACAUUAGGCAGGCUCCAUCCCUUCUGGGGUUCAGAAAAAAACUGAAGACCUGGCUAUGUACGUAGGCGUUUGAAGAAUAAGUAUGUGUUGGCUUCGACGCAGUCUGGAUUAAGGUUCUUGUAUGAGGUCUGGUGGAUGAAUGGCAUAAGCACUUUGCAUUGUUUUAAACUUUGUAUAUUGUAUUUUAUGACUGUUUUAACUGUUUUAACGUUUUAGUUCAUUGUAUAACAGUGUAACGGCAUCAAUUGCCACUUGUAGGCCGCCCUGAGUCCCCUCGGGUUAGAAGGGCAGGGUAUAAAUAAUUGAAAUAAAUAAUAAAUAAGGUACUGCAAAUCCCAUAAUUCUUGGUCCAUCCUCCCCCAAAAUGCUACAGUGUGUACCAAUACUUUAUAAACAUUUCUAUGAUUUACACCAUAGCCCUGAAUCAUUUAAAUAUCACAUACUAGAAGUGGUUACACAAACUAAACAUAUGGACUUCAACAAUAAACUUCUACAAAGAGAAACAUAUUGGAUCUUCCCCUAUUUGAGUACAUUGAGGGUGCUCACAACGCCAUCUGGUGGGGAUAAUCUUCAUUUCUUCAGCUUUAUAUGAGCUUCUGUUUCUUUAACAUCUCACUUACAUCUUCCCCUUUAAAUUGAGACAACUCCCUGAGGUUUCUCAUACUCGCAGUUAGAAUCUAACACAUAGCAGAGUAUCCCGUGAGUAUAUACUGUUUUUGUAAAAUACGUUGAUAAAACAAUUAUUUUGGAUAUAUGUAACUCUAAAAUGCUUAUAGCCACUCUUUGUUCCUUUGGCCUAGAUUCCACUGUGUAUAAAAACCUGUAUCUCUAAGGAGAACAAGUGUUAAGUUUGAAACUUUGCCCCAGAAGAUCCUAGGGCAUCAUCUCUAAUGGAGGAAUGAAUGUAGAGGUGCUGGCUUCCUGUUAGUGAAUUAUGAUGGUAUAAGUUCAGCCUGGAUAACUGUCACUCACUUUCUUGUUGUAAAGUGGGAAAAAUGAAAAGGAAACCCAAACCAAUUGAAUACUGUGAAAGAAGAAUGCAUGCUCCUUUAGCCUUUACCCUAGUGAUAUCGAAUCUAGACUGCAAUAAUGUGAGGAUCCUGCCUGGCAAGGAAUGCUAGCAAUUAAUUAAGUUUCCAGAUUGAAAUUAAGUCACCAAAGGCAGCUUUUUUAAAUGUCAGGAGUGACUUGAGAAACUGCAAGUUGCUUCUGGUGUGAGAGAAUUGGCCAUCUGCAAGGAUGUUGCCAGCGAUGCCCAGAUGUUUUGAUGUUUUAUCAUCCUUGUGGGAGGCUUCUCUCAUGUCCCUGCAUGGGGAGCUGGAGCUGACAGAGUGAGCUGAUCCACGCUCUACCUGGAUUCAAACUGGUAACCUUCAAGCCAGCAACCCAGCCUUCAUGUCAGCAGUCCUGAUGGCACAAGGGUUUAAGCUAUUCCUUCACUGGGGGCUCCAUUAAAGGCAGAUGAAGACAUAAGACAGAGGCAAAUUUAUUCAUCCAUGGGCAUAGGAAGGAGACCUGUGGACUCACACCCAAGAGACAAGUCUCCUCACAUGUGCUCCUGCAAGGAGCUAAAUAAAGUCUGUUUCAUUGUUACAGUUUGAAUCCUCCCGCCCUGGCCCGGGAUUGGCUUAGCCUUCGAUGGUGUGGCCAGAAAUCUCUUCCCAGCCAGGCUGGGGCUAGGCUCAGGGGGUGGGGAAGAGUCCAGAGGGGAGGAUGGGAUUAUGAAAUCCAGGCUCAGGAGAACAAUGGCCUGGCUGAGUUGUCCUCUUGUCUGAGGCUGGAAACCAUUCUGUGGCCCAGCAAGUAAGUUUAAACAGAAAGGAAAAUAUAUUUUACAUUUAAGCAUAAAAAAAGGUUAAGGUAUACAUUUUAGAUUUGAGAAAUGAGUGCAAUAUUAUACAAUAUUGUUUUGUUGACUUUUCCCUUGCUAACCUUCUAGUUUUGCCAGGCUAGAACAUAGAAAUGUGAAUGUCCCUCACCCCAGCUAGACAAAAGGUAUUGGAAUUCCUUUGUUUGUUAGUCAUUGAAUGGGGUAGAUAAUAAUAGCAGGAUCAUUUAGCAGUUAGCUUAGGCCAAGGAAAGGUCACGUGUGUCUUGUAACAUGGAUAUUUGUUACCUGUUCAUUUUUGCUGUAAAUAUACAUUUAAAAACCUGAUUAAAUGUACGCAAACCUAA